rnacentral:sRNA from 1 species
UGGGCGCUGUCGAAAUGGACAUGCACGUCGAUGCCACCGGGCGUCGCGAUCAGGCCCUCGGCGUCGCGCACCGUGGUCGAGGCGCCGCAUAACAGGUUCUUGUCGACGCCGUCCAUGAUCGCCGGAUUGCCGGCCUUGCCGACGCCGGCGAUGCGCCCUUCUUUUAUUCCGAUGUCGCCCUUCACGACACCUAACACAGGGUCGAUGACGAUGGCGUUGGAGACCAGCAUGUCGAGCGCGCCGGCGGCGCUGUUGAGGCCGGCGACGAGGCCGAUGCCGUCGCGC